UGGGGAAUCUUGCGCAAUGCGCGAAAGCGUGACGCAGCAACGCCGCGUGGGGGAAGAAGGCCUUCGGGUUGUAAACCCCUUUCAGGAGGGACGAAGGUUGGGCGGUUAAUAGCCGACCUGACUGACGGUACCUCCAGAAGAAGCCCCGGCUAACUACGUGCCAGCAGCCGCGGUAAUACGUAGGGGGCAAGCGUUGUCCGGAAUCAUUGGGCGUAAAGAGCGUGUAGGCGGUUCGGUAAGUCGGCUGUGAAAGUCCAGGGCUCAACCCUGGGAUGCCGGUCGAUACUGCCGGACUAGAGUUCGGAAGAGGCGAGUGGAAUUCCCGGUGUAGCGGUGAAAUGCGCAGAUAUCGGGAGGAACACCUAUGGCGAAGGCAGCUCGCUGGGACGUUACUGACGCUGAGACGCGAAAGCGUGGGGAGCAAACAGG
rnacentral:rRNA from 1 species